UUAAUCACCUAGAAUGAGAAAAGUCACUUUAAUUUUAAGGUUUUCGUUAAAUUAUCGAGAUAAUCAUUUACAAUAAUUUCCAGCGAGUUAUUUUCGUCCUCAUCUUUUUAUUUUAUUAAUUUUUUUUUGUUUGUAGUCAAAACUACGUUGUUCAAGAUAUCCAUUUCGUUCAUUAAUUCAUAACUUAAUUGAACAAAAAAUGUUCAUUUCACAAUUCCGUUGCUAUUUCCUGAUAUGUUAGAAUGAUGAAAUUUGAGUGAGUUGUUAAGCAUGAGAAUUAUUCCUAAGAGUGUGCCUUUGCCUCUAAAUAAUUACCAAAAGUGAUUAUUAAUCAUGAAAUAUUCAAUUUAUUGACUUUUUUAUGUUCUAUAAAAAAAAACUUUUUUUCACAGUACUUAUCAAGUUUCGUUCUGGUUUUCUUCAAUAAAAAAAUUAUCUGAAGGAAAGAUACGAAGUUUAUAACUUGAAAAAGUAGGAUGAUAAUUAAUUUAGUGAGAAUAAACACGAACACCAACGACACAAGCAAUUAUUAAGAGUAUUUUUUUAACACAAACAUGUUGUUUGCUUUUUUUACUAGUGAGCCAAAGUGGAGUCAAAUACCCAUCAUGACCUAAGAAAAGGGACAAUAAGAUGCUGUCAUCUAAGUAGGAAAACAUGAACGUUUUGAUCAGACGACAUCCCUAUCAGAAUUACACUUUAGUGAUCACAAAUAUUGGAGCCUCUACGCAGUGCCUGUGCCCAGCAGAGGAUUUUGGAAAUCAUAACCAUGUGCAAAUUCAGUUUUCUUCCAUAAUGGGUGUAUUAAAAAAUUUUGUAAUCCAAAAAUGAUAGAGAUUGACUCAUUAAAAAUAAAUUACAAUAAUUA